CCCCGCAGGCCUCGGGCUCUCCCUUUGGAGCGGGCCCAGCCCCGUGGGCCCCCGCCGCCUCCCCGCGGUGCCGCCGCCCCCGGCCCGGCCCGCGUCGGCGGCACUCACUGCGGCGGGAGCUGCAGGGCCGGGCCGCCGCGGCGCUGGAAGGCACCGUCCACGAAGACGCCGUUCUUGCCGAGGCAGCGCAGGAAAUGUGUUCUGAGUAGAAGUUGCUGCUUAAAGCCAGCACCGCCACUGAGAUAAAUCCCAGCUUCAUGCAAAAUACGAUCAAGCGCUGUACAGAAACAGGAUUCCUCCAAGCUGCCUGAUGGGUUGUGCUUUGCAUCGUGUCUCACCAGCCCUCCCGCCUGCGGCAUCCGUUCUCUAAGCUCCUUGUGCUGCGAGGAACAGAGCGCUCUGCUCGGCAGCCUCCAAUGCUCGGCUCGGCUCUAAUCCACCCCGCAACAGCAUCAAACCAAGGGCCCUUCAGACAAGGAAACACUUUGCGCUCCUCCAGUCAGCUAAUCCUGCUUAAAGUCAAGCUGGCUGCCCCGGUGUAAAUGCCUGAUGUAAAUGCACUCAAAAUUGUUUGAAUUAAAUUAAUCUCAUCCCGUA